rnacentral:snRNA from 1 species
AGAUGUGAGGGUGAUCUGGCUCUGAUAUCUUGUCACCCCAUUGAUCGCCAAUGUUGAUCCUGCUGAUCUGGCUGGCAGGCUGGCUAGGCGGGUGCCCCUUCCUCCCACACUGCUCCAUGUGCGUCCCUCCCUAAGCUGUAGGCUCGGUCAAAGAGAACGACAUUUCCCCGAAGACAGACAGAAUGGUCUUCAAUUGAGGGUAUACUGGUAGCUGUGUUCCCCUGCUAGAACCUCCAAACAAGCUCUCAAGAAUGCUCAUCAAGAAUAAGAUGAUUACUGAUGGAGUAAUGUUUUUUUUU